rnacentral:rRNA from 1 species
AACGAACGCUGGCGGCAGGCUUAACACAUGCAAGUCGAGCGCCCGCAAGGGAGCGGCAGACGGGUGAGUAACGCGUGGGAAUCUACCCAGUUCUACGGAAUAACCCAGGGAAACUUGGACUAAUACCGUAUACGCCCUACGGGGGAAAGAUUUAUCGGAAUUGGAUGAGCCCGCGUAAGAUUAGCUAGGUGGUGGGGUAAUGGCCUACCAAGGCGACGAUCUUUAGCUGGUCUGAGAGGAUGAUCAGCCACACGGGGACUGAGACACGGCCCAGACUCCCACGGGAGGCAGCAGUGGGGAAUAUUGGACAAUGGGCGCAAGCCUGAUCCAGCCAUGCCGCGUGAGUGAUGAAGGCCUUAGGGUUGUAAAGCUCUUUCAGUGGGGAAGAUAAUGACGGUACCCACAGAAGAAGCCCCGGCUAACUUCGUGCCAGCCGCCGCCGUAA